rnacentral:rRNA from 1 species
UAGGGAAUCUUCCACAAUGGACGAAAGUACUGAUGGAGCAACGCCGCGUGAGUGAAGAAGGGUUUCGGCUCGUAAACUCUGUUGUUAAAGAAGAACAUAUCUGAGAGUAACUGUUCAGGUAUUGACGGUAUUUAACCAGAAAGCCACGGCUAACUACGUGCCAC